rfam:Ovis aries breed Texel chromosome 14, whole genome shotgun sequence.
UCCCUGAUGGUCCAGUGGUUAAAACUCUGCAUUUCCAAUUCAGGGAACAUGGGUUCAAUCCCCUGUCAGGGAA